rnacentral:hammerhead_ribozyme from 1 species
AUCCAGCUGAAGAGUCCUAAAUAUGACGGAACGCAUGUCCUGUAU